AUUGAACGCUGGCGGCGGGCCUAACACAUGCAAGUCGAACGAGUGGCGGACGGGUGAGUAAUGUCUGGGAAACUGCCCGAUGGAGGGGGAUCACUACUGGAAACGGUAGCUAAUACCGCAUACCAUCGGAUGUGCCCAUAUGGGAUUAGCUAGUAGGUGGGGUAACGGCUCACCUAGGCGACGACCCCUAGCUGGUCUGAGAGGAGGACCAGCCACACUGGAACUGAGACACGGUCCAGACUCCUACGGGAGGCAGCAGUGGGGAAUAUGGCACAAUGGGGGCAAGCCUGAUGCAGCCAGGCCGCGUGUAUGAAGAAGGCCUUCGGGUUGUAAAGUACUUUCAGCGGGGAGGCGUUACCCGCAGAAGAAGCACCGGCUAACUCCGUGCCAGCAGCCGCGGUAAUUC
rnacentral:rRNA from 1 species